rnacentral:lncRNA from 1 species
UUUGAGGGCCACAAUCGACACCUAUGCAAUUUGAACACACCAUGUCAGCCAAGCGAGAGGCACCAACCAAAUCCUUGACAAAAACGAUGGAUUAACAUACAGUUUUGAAACCUUAAAUGUCCCACCAUCUCUUCUCCGGAGCAACUUUUCUUCGCACAUUUCAUGUGAAGAUCAUCGGAUAUUCAUUUGCUGCAUUUGCACUUCCGACCAAUAUUCAAAGCAUCUAUUGAACGCUCUCUAGGUCUACCUGCUCCUAACUCAAACA